AUUCAACUCGCCUCUUCAUUUAUGGUGAUCUAUACACCUCUAUAUAUAAAAGAGUGAUGGCAUCACGGCACCGGACAAAACAACAAAAGUAAACACCCCACAACCUCGAAAGUUGACAGCACAACCCCUCAUCCAUGCCUCUAGGUUGAUACAACAAAAAGAAAAGAAAAAUAAAGUCCUAAUUAGAGGGAGAGGAAUAAUUGUUUAUGUGCGGGGUUAUUAUUAUUAUUAUUUUAUUAUGACACAGCAAACAAGAUAGAUAUCCUGGAUUUUGUAUCACAAAAUCACAAGUCGAACACUUCCCAAGUGUCUAGGACUGUGUGAUGUAUUUUCGGAUGAUGCGUGCAGAUCCCAGUAGGGUGGCCUUUUGCAGUUGGCAGAUCGUAAUUAUGAUAAAAUUAUUAUUAUUAUUAUUAUUAUUAUUAUUAUUAUUAUUAUUAUUAUUACUACUACUACUAUUAUUAUUAGAACUGCAGUGUGUAAUCACAAUGCAAAUAUAGGACACACAAGCAAUAGGGAAAGUACAACCAUAAUGCACAGAGCACAACGUGCAAAGGCCGAAUACAGAGGAGCAUGCUGUAUCUAUGCAACUCCUUUUAUGCGCAAUGGUGACUCUUUGGCCCCACAUGUAUGACGUACAUGAGUGAAUGUCCUAAGUGAAUUCCAGCCAUUAUGUUUGAGUGGAUGGAUUCAUUUUUAGCCACUCAUAAAAAAUGCAAGAAGGAAAAGAUGAAUGAAGAGAGCAGAGGAAAAGAAGGAGCGGGGAAGACUUGCCGGCCUCGAAGAACAGCCACAAGGUCACUCCAUUCUCAGAGUGGAUUGAUGUGGGCUUCACACGUCCAGGCUCUUACAAAUCGCAAAUCACACUUCAAUUAUUCAUAAAUAUAAAACUGUGGCGUUAAAAAUAGGAGGGGAAGCGACAGCAGGCAGCGGUGGUGGCCGUCCUGACAUCGGCAAGGGAAUGGCCUUGUCAGUUGAACCAAGACGGGCUCCAGGUGUACAUACUAAUCCAGGUAAUCGUGAAUAAUCCAUGUCAUGACCGAAAAACAUUGCAGCUAUAUUAAUAUGUAAACAUAGAUGGGGCUCACUCUUUUCUACCUGUGGUCCCCAUCUCUGAAUCCCAUUUUCCAAAUCGGUGAUGGGAAGAAUCUCAGGGCAAGAGCACUAUCUUGAAAUUACGAGGGUUAUCCAGAAAGUAGAUUACGUUUUGGAAUUAAAAAUGAACAAAGUAUAGGAGAAAACAUUUACCAUAUGCAGUUGAAAGCCACACCCAAAUACCACUUCUCAACAUAGUCGCCAUUCAAACCUAGGCACUUAUCAUAGCGAUGAAUGAGCUUGGCAACUCCUUUCCCCACAAAACUCUGCCGCUUGCGUCCUCAACCAGCCGGUCACUUCAUCCACUACAGCUGCUCAUCAUCGGCUACCACACAGUGUUUGAAGGACGCAAGCCGGCAAGAGUUC
rnacentral:lncRNA from 1 species